CAAUGGGGUGUCCUGAUUAAAACAUCGGGACUGAGAUUAUACUCAAUGAACCUGAUCCGGUUAGCACCGGCGUAGGGAGAGCGAAA
rnacentral:ncRNA from 1 species